CGGAGGAAAAGAAACCAACAGGGAUUGCCUCAGUAACGGCGAGUGAAGCGGCAAAAGCUCAAAUUUUAAAGCUGGCACCUCCGGUGUCCGCGUUGUAAUUUUGUGAGGCAUCUCCGGGUGGGGCGCCGGCCUAAGUUCCUUGGAACAGGACGUCAUAGAGGGUGAGAAUCCCGUGCUUGGCUGGCUGUCCCCGUCCAUGUGAGGUGUCUUCGACGAGUCGAGUUGUUUGGGAAUGCAGCUCAAAAUGGGUGGUAAAUUUCAUCUAAAGCUAAAUAUUGGUGGGAGACCGAUAGCGCACAAGUAGAGUGAUCGAAAGAUGAAAAGCACUUUGAAAAUAGAGUUAAAAAGUACGUGAAAUUGUUGAAAGGGAAGCGCUUGAGACCAGACUUCGGUGGGGAGUGAUCAGCCGUCCUUCUGGGCGGUGCACUUGCCCCCCUCCGGGCCAGCAUCGGUUGGGACGGCGGGAUAAAGGUCCCGGGAAUGUGGCUCCUCUCGGGGAGUGUUAUAGCCCGGGUGAAUGCCGCCAGCCCCGACCGAGGACCGCGCCUUCGGGCUAGGAUGCUUGGCAUAAUGGUCUUCAGCGACCCGUC
rnacentral:rRNA from 1 species